AUUGAACGCUAGCGGGAUGCUUUACACAUGCAAGUCGAACGGAGUCGCGGACGUGUGGGAAAUAUAUGAGAACGUGCGCAGUAGCGGGGGAUAACUACGCGAAGGAGGUGCUAAUCACGCAUUCUAUUGACUCGGCCGAUAUCGGAUUAGCUUGGUGGGGGGGUAAAGGGUCACAAAGGCAACGAUCCGUAGCUGGUUUGAGAGGACGCACAGCCACACUGGGACUGAGACACGGCCCAGACUCCUACGGGAGGCAGCAGUGGGGAAUUUUGGACAAUGGGGGAAACCCUGAUCCAGCCAUCCCGCGUGUAUGAUGAAGGCCUUCGGGUUGUAAAGUACUUUUGGCAGAGAAGCGGUAUCUGCAGAAUAAGCACCGGCUAACUACGUGCCAGCAGCCGCGGUAAUUC
rnacentral:rRNA from 1 species